CGGCGGCGUCCUCGGAGGGCAGGAUCCGCCGCGGAUUGCGCGGCGCCUCGCUUAUGGCGCGCCAGCGGCCGGAGCUGCUGUGCGGCGCCGUGGCUCUCGGCUGCGCCCUGCUCUUCGCCCUCAAGUUCACCUGCAGUCGAGCAAAAGACGUGAUAAUACCAGCAAAGCCGCCUGUCAGCUUUUUCUCCUCGAGAUCUCCAGUCCUUGACCUCUUCCAGGGGCAGCUGGACUACGCUGACCAUGUCCGCCAGGAUUCUGAGGUGGUGGUGCUGUUCUUCUAUGCCCCAUGGUGCGGCCAGUCCAUUGCAGCCAGGGCAGAAAUUGAGCAGGCAGCCAGCCGGCUUUCAGAUCAGGUAAUGUGUGCUUCCACCCAAGCAGUGACUGUCAAAUCUGCAUGAGAGAGGAUGGCCCUUCAGAGAAAUUAUGCCAGACUGGCAGUGAUGUCCAGGUAAAUUCCAGGGCCUUGUCAGGUGCAAAGCCUGUGAAGAAACAGGAAGAAGAGUCCUGUCAGGAUGGUCAAGUGGCAAGGGAGAUUCAGUCCUGUGGCUUUAGGAGAUGUGGGCUUGCCCAGGAUACCAGGUUGUGUGAUACAGCGCUGAAGCUACAUAGUAGAGACCAAUGUUCUCUCAUGUUCAGCCUAUGUGUCUUGUUAACUCUUAUGUUGUAAGUGGCACAUAGGCCCUGGUGCAGGUGUGGAGUUAGCAGACAACUCGAAGGAGUCAGUACUCCUCUACCAUGCAGCCACCUACUUAAAUGUUUAUACGGGAAAAGUUUAUGGAUAAAAAGACUAAAGGUUGCUGGGUGUGGUGACAAAUACUUUUAAUCCCAGCACUCGAGAGACUGAGGCAGGCAGAGGCAGGCGGAUCCCUGAGUUGCAGGCCAGCCUGGUGUACAAAGUGAGUUCUAGGACAGUGAAGGCUACACAGAGAAAUCCUGUCUUGAAAAAU
rnacentral:lncRNA from 1 species